AGGGGCUUUCCAACGAGGCUCGAGAAGCAGGGUGCUGGGGGACAGGAAAAGACCACCCUGCAGGCAUGCAGUAAAUUUCCAGCAACAGAGGAAGAUCAGGAUACAACAGCAAAAAUACUUUUGUAGGAAACAAAAUUGCUUCAGAGAUAACACAACUGUCCCUGAAGCCAGAAAAAUGAGGAGAGCUGUGGAUACACAUGGGUAACUGACUGUGAGGAAAAUUGGAAUUGUUCAAAUCCUGAUGUGGCUACCAGCAUCACCAUACAACUUGAGAGCAUCAGAAAGAAAGGAAUGCUAACAGACUUUGAGACACUUCAGAGCUAGUGUUAGAGUCCUGUAGAGAAUACUGUAAAUAAUGCAGAAGGCCAUUAUGAUAUUCUUUGUGUGCAAUUACUUUGUUUUGAAAUAAAGAGUAAUGUAAAUUUCAGUCUGUACUUAAGAUAGCAACAAAAAGAGCAGUAUACUAUUCCUGUGUAAAAACUAACUGUAAAGGAAGCAGUAGGGUUUCACUAAGGCAACAAGAAAAUUUCAGGAGUAGGAUGCAUAUAAAGCUGCUCAGAAUUGCAGGAAGACUAAGCUGUGUUUCAGCUUAGAAAUCUUUCCCUACUAGCUGAGAUACUUAGAAUGUUAUACUCCUUUGUGUACCUCUUUGAACGUUGCUCUCUUUUUAAGCAGUAAGGUUCUUAAACCCUGUUAAGGCUCCCUUAAGUUCUGACAUCAAUGAGAAUUAGGUACCUUCAACUAAAGAAGUGCUAGACAACGCAAGAAUUGAUGUGCUGGGAAAAUAAGGCCAUGAGCCAUGGUAAUGAAAGGAUCUCUAGGAGUCCCCAGCUAACAAUAUUAUAGCAGGUUUAUGAAAGGAAACAUCUAGUGACUUAAUGGGUAACAUUGAUAGGAUUAAAAGGGUGCAGUUGAUUAGCAUUAUCUGCUUAAGAACAAAAUCACAUUAAAAGUAGGAGGUCAUAGGAUUUAAGGAUUAAGAAUAU